rnacentral:rRNA from 1 species
UACGUAGGUGGCAAGCGUUGUCCGGAUUUAUUGGGUUUAAAGGGUGCGUAGGCGGUUUUAUAAGUCAGUGGUGAAAUACGGCAGCUUAACUGUCGAGGUGCCAUUGAUACUGUAAGACUUGAGUACUGAUGAGGUAGGCGGAAUUGACGGUGUAGCGGUGAAAUGCUUAGAUAUCGUCAAGAACACCGAUAGCGAGGGCAGCUUACUAAGGAGUAACUGACGCUGAUGCACGAAAGUGUGGGGAU